GGAGAGAUGGCCGAGUGGUUUAAGGCGCACGCCUGGAACGCGUGUAUAUCGCAAGAUAUCUAGAGUUCGAAUCUCUAUCUCUCCG
rnacentral:tRNA from 1 species